AUUGAACGCUGGCGGCAUGCUUUACACAUGCAAGUCGAACGGUAACAGGCCGCAAGGUGCUGACGAGUGGCGAACGGGUGAGUAAUGCAUCGGAACGUGCCCAGUCGUGGGGGAUAACUACUCGAAAGAGUAGCUAAUACCGCAUACGAUCUAUGGAUGAAAGCGGGGGACCGUAAGGCCUCGCGCGCUUGGAGCGGCCGAUGUCAGAUUAGGUAGUUGGUGGGGUAAAGGCUCACCAAGCCAACGAUCUGUAGCUGGUCUGAGAGGACAACCAGCCACACUGGGACUGAGACACGGCCCAGACUCCUACGGGAGGCAGCAGUGGGGAAUUUUGGACAAUGGGCGCAAGCCUGAUCCAGCAAUGCCGCGUGCAGGAAGAAGGCCUUCGGGUUGUAAACUGCUUUUGUACGGAACGAAACGGCUCUGGUUAAUACCCGGGGCUAAUGACGGUACCGUAAGAAUAAGCACCGGCUAACUACGUG
rnacentral:rRNA from 1 species